rnacentral:rRNA from 1 species
AGUGAACGCUGGCGGCAGGCCUAACACAUGCAAGUCGAACGGCAGCACGGCAGUAGCAAUACUGUGGGUGGUGAGUGGCGGACGGGUGAGGAAUACAUCGGGAUCUACCCUGUUGUGGGGGAUAACGUAGGGAAACUUACGCUAAUACCGCAUAAGAACUGAGGUUGAAAGCGGCGGACCGCAAGGCGUCGCGCGAUUGGAUGAACCGAUGUCCGAUUAGCUAGUUGGCGGGGUAAAGGCCCACCAAGGCGACGAUCGGUAGCUGGUCUGAGAGGACGACCAGCCACACUGGAACUGAGACACGGUCCAGACUCCUACGGGAGGCAGCAGUGGGGAAUAUUGGACAAUGGGCGAAAGCCUGAUCCAGCCACGCCGCGUGGGUGAUGAAGGCCUC